rnacentral:rRNA from 1 species
UACGUAGGGUGCGAGCGUUAAUCGGAAUUACUGGGCGUAAAGCGUGCGCAGGCGGUUUUGUAAGCCAGAUGUGAAAUCCCCGGGCUUAACCUGGGAAUGGCAUUUGGGACUGCAAGGCUCGAGUGCGGCAGAGGAGACUGGAAUUCCUGGUGUAGCAGUGAAAUGCGUGGAUAUCAGGAGGAACACCGAUGGCGAAGGCAGGUCUCUGGGCUGACACUGACGCUCAUGCACGAAAGCGUGGGGAGCAAUCCGG